CAUUAGAUGGCUGAAAGUAAGUACUGGUCUCUUAAACCAUUUAAUAAUAAACUAACGACUAUUUCUAAUG
rnacentral:tRNA from 1 species